AUUGAACGCUGGCGGCAUGCCUUACACAUGCAAGUCGAACGGCAGCGGACCUUCGGGUGCCGGCGAGUGGCGAACGGGUGAGUAAUAUAUCGGAACGUACCUUUCAGUGGGGGAUAACGUAGCGAAAGUUACGCUAAUACCGCAUAUUCUGUGAGCAGGAAAGCAGGGGAUCGCAAGACCUUGCGCUGAUUGAGCGGCCGAUAUCAGGAUUAGCUAGUUGGUGAGGUAAAGGCUCACCAAGGCGACGAUCUGUAGCGGGUCUGAGAGGAUGAUCCGCCACACUGGAACUGAGACACGGUCCAGACUCCUACGGGAGGCAGCAGUGGGGAAUUUUGGACAAUGGGCGCAAGCCUGAUCCAGCCAUGCCGCGUGACGUGAAGAA
rnacentral:rRNA from 1 species